rnacentral:rRNA from 1 species
GACGAACGCUGGCGGCGUGCCUAAUACAUGCAAGUCGAGCGCAGGAAACUGACGGAACUCUUCGGAGGGAAGGCAGUGGAAUGAGCGGCGGACGGGUGAGUAACACGUAAGGAACCUGCCUCAAGGAUUGGGAUAACUCCGAGAAAUCGGAGCUAAUACCGGAUAGUUCAACGGACCGCAUGGUCCGUUGAUGAAAGGCGCUCCGGCGUCACCUUGAGAUGGCCCUGCGGUGCAUUAGCUAGUGGGUGGGGUAACGGCUCACCAAGGCGACGAUGCAUAGCCGACCUGAGAGGGUGAUCGGCCACACUGGGACUGAGACACGGCCCAGACUCCUACGGGAGGCAGCAGUAGGGAAUCUUCCACAAUGGACGAAAGUCUGAUGGAGCAACGCCGCGUGAGUGAUGAAGGUUUUCGGAUCGUAAAACUCUGUUGUAAGGGAAGAACACGUACGAGAGGAAAUGCUCGUACCUUGACGGUACCUUACGAGAAAGCCACGGCUAACUACGUGCCAGCCGCCGCAGUAA